AUGCUCAUUUCGGCAGCACAUAUACUAAAAUUGGAACGAUACAUAGAAGAUUAGCAUGGCCCCUGUGCAAGGAUGACAUGCUAAUUCAUGAAGCGUUCCAUAUUUUU
rnacentral:snRNA from 1 species